rnacentral:rRNA from 1 species
UACGUAGGGGGCUAGCGUUGUCCGGAAUCAUUGGGCGUAAAGCGCGUGUAGGCGGUCCGGUAAGUCCGCUGUGAAAACCUGGGGCUCAACCCCGGGCCUGCAGCCGAUACGGGCAAGCUAGAAUUCGGUAGGGGAGACUGGAAUUCCUGGUGUAGCGGUGAAAUGCGCAGAUAUCAGGAGGAACACCGGUGGGCGAAAGGCGGGG